GUAGAGCACUGUUUCGGCUAGGGGGCCAUCCCGGCUUACCAACCCGAUGCAAACUACGAAUACCGAAGAAUGUUAUCACGGGAGACACACGGCGGGUGCUAACGUCCGUCGUGAAGAGGGAAACAACCCAGACCGCCAGCUAAGGUCCCAAAGUCAUGGUUAAGUGGGAAACGAUGUGGGAAGGCACAGACAGCCAGGAUGUUGGCUUAGAAGCAGCCAUCAUUUAAAGAAAGCGUAAUAGCUCACUGGUCGAGUCGGCCUGCGCGGAAGAUGUAACGGGGCUAAACCAUGCACCGAAGCUGCGGCAGCGACACUAUGUGUUGUUGGGUAGGGGAGCGUUCUGUAAGCCGUCGAAGGUGGCCUGUGAGGGCUGCUGGAGGUAUCAGAAGUGCGAAUGCUGACAUAAGUAACGAUAAAGCGGGUGAAAAGCCCGCUCGCCGGAAGACCAAGGGUUCCUGUUCAACGUUAAUCGGGGCAGGGUGAGUCGACCCCUAAGGCGAGGCCGAAAGGCGUAGUCGAUGGGAAACAGGUUAAUAUUCCUGUACUCGGUGUUACUGCGAAGGGGGGACGGAGAAGGCUAUAUCAGCCGGGCGACGGUUGUCCCGGUUUAAGCGUGUAGGCGGAGAGUUUAGGUAAAUCCGGACUCUUGUUAACGCUGAGGCGUGACGACGAGGCACUACGGUGCUGAAGUGAUAAAUGCCCAGCUUCCAGGAAAAGCCUCUAAGCAUCAGGUAACACAGAAUCGUACCCCAAACCGACACAGGUGGUCAGGUAGAGAAUACCAAGGCGCUUGAG
rnacentral:rRNA from 1 species